AACGAACGCUGGCGGCAUGCCUAACACAUGCAAGUCGAACGAGACCUUCGGGUCUAGUGGCGCACGGGUGCGUAACGCGUGGGAACCUGCCCUUAGGUUCGGAAUAACUCCCCGAAAGGGGUGCUAAUACCGGAUAAUGUCUUCGGACCAAAGAUUUAUCGCCUUUGGAUGGGCCCGCGUUGGAUUAGCUAGUUGGUAGGGUAAAAGUCUACCAAGGCGACGAUCCAUAGCUGGUCUGAGAGGACGAUCAGCCACACUGGGACUGAGACACGGCCCAGACUCCUACGGGAGGCAGCAGUGGGGAAUAUUGGACAAUGGGCGAAAGCCUGAUCCAGCAAUGCCGCGUGAGUGAUGAAGGCCUUAGGGUUGUAAAGCUCUUUUACCCGGGAUGAUAAUGACAGUACCGGGAGAAUAAGCUCCGGCUAACUCCGUG
rnacentral:rRNA from 1 species